rnacentral:rRNA from 1 species
ACAGAGGGUGCGAGCGUUAAUCGGAAUCACUGGGCUUAAAGGGUGCGUAGGCGGAUGCAUAGGCGCUUUGUGAAAUCCCACGGCUCAACCGUGGAAUUGCUUGGCGAACCAUGCGUCUUGAGGUUGGUAGAGGUCACUGGAACGAUAGGUGGAGCGGUGAAAUGCGUAGAUAUCUAUCGGAACGCCAACGGUGAAGACAGGUGACUGGGCCAAAUCUGACGCUGAGGCACGAAAGCGUGGGGAGCAAACGGGAUUAGAUACCCCGGUAGUCCACGCCGUAAACGAUGCACACUUGGUCGGAGCGGUUUGACUCCGUUUCGGCCGUAGGAAAACUGAUGAGUGUGCCGCCUGGGGAGUACGGUCGCAAGAUUA